rnacentral:lncRNA from 1 species
UUCUAGGAUACGUGUGCAGAACGUGCAGGUCCGUUACAUAGGUAUACAUGUGCCAUGGUGGUUUGCUGAACCCAUCAACCCGUCAUCUUCAAAGAUAAGGCCUUCAGUAUAUCAAGAUCAGUGGAUCAAAGAAACAUCCUCAAGAAACUAAGAAACAACACAAGAUUCUCUCUGAUGAAAUGCUUAAGUAUAAGGAAAAUGAUGGAAGACACAGAAGAGCAGCAGAAUUGGGUAGAAGACUACUACAGAUGCCAGAUCGCCACUUCUGAAAGAAAGGCUUACGACAACUGGCUCUGUGUUUAAGCCUCGCAGAGGGAGAUGCAAGAGAAGAAGGCUGCCUACAAGCAGCACAGAUAGGAAAUGAUUGAAAAACAGAGAGUGCUGGAGAGACACAUUAGUCAGGAGCCAGCUAGUGGACAACCAGGCAUAGAGAAUCAUCCCCAAAGAGGUCAAUAUGGCUUUGGGAGGGCCCCUUUUUCAGGAUUGCCCUACUUGCUCUACUGCAUGGCUGGCUCUUCAGGACCAUUUGUGGGCUGCCAGACACCUCCUCUGCCUGGGUGGCCUCUGGGAACACGACCACUGCCUCCAUGCACACCACUUGGACAAGCUGAAAUUUGAAGAGGCCCCUGAGCUGUGACAGCCAUGCUGUGGCUCCUACAUAACUUGGAAAAGUAUCCAAUACAUUUUACGCUGCCUGCCCAGUGCUGCCUCAUCUGUCUCUAAUCUUCUGUAGUGUUUCCCCUAAUAAAGGUUUGCAGUCCUA